CCCACAUUGCCUGCCUGUCCCACCCUGGACUGUGCCAUGCACGCCGGCGUGUGGUUCUGGGGGUGUGGGUGGGAGUGGAUGUGUGCCAAGGCCAUCACUUCCUUACACACACACACACACACACACACACACACACACACACGGUCCCAGAGAGCUGUCUCCAUAGACACCAAUGGGGGGCGUGCCCCAGGCCCCCGCCCCCCAUCCUAGGAGUGGGACUCUGGGCCAGCCGGGGUGGGAGCUGGACAGGCAGCCCCUUCACGUGGGGACCCGGCUGGCACCCACUCCAUCGCCCGCGUUACCCCAACCCCACCAGGGAUACUGCCCACCUGCCGUGUUCCCACCCACCUCUGGCCCUUGGGGACUAUUCUGUCUGCAGGACAUGACCUCAAGGAACACAGGCAGCAGAGCAGUAGGGUGAUGACUCUUGGGGCCCCGGCUGGGCUCUGAGCUGGCCCCACCCGGCAGAAGGUACUAGGUGCCCCCACCACUGGUCUGACAUCAGCAUCACCCCGGCCCCCCAGAAGCCACCUAAACCAUCAGCACCACCAUGUCCCUGUCCCCUUAAUGUCGCGUCAUCCUCCUCUGACCAGUGCUCCACCCCGCCAGCCCAGCGCCACCACCAACGUCCUCAGUGCUGUGAUGUCACGCAUCACGGCAGCAGGGACGGGGGGCACACGGCGCGGGUCUGUGGCCAACCCUGCCUUCUCCAGACACACCCCAGACACCACUGUGGCCCGGCUGCCACCCGCCACGCACCCUCCCUGCAGCACCGUGGGCUCUCCCUGUGCCAGGCACCAGGCUCCUCUCAGACCACCCGGAGGCCCUUGUCACCUCCCUGGAGACCACCGACCGCUCCCACAACCGCAUCCUUGCCGCCGAACUGGAAUCUGCUGUUCCGCUCUCUCCCCUGCCCGCAGCGCUCCAGGCCGGGCCAGGCCCCAGAGCGAAAUAACUGGAAAUCGUUGAAGGCGUCACGUGACUUCUAAAGCAUCACCAUGUGAAGUUCAGUCCCCGUCAUGCUUCCCUCUCAGCCGGCCACCAGCAACCACACGUUGACGGGUCUCGGGAGAACCACGGUUCCAGACACCAAGCCCGGGAGCUACCAGAAUGGUUCCACCUCUGAGU
rnacentral:lncRNA from 1 species